ensembl:snRNA U6 U6 spliceosomal RNA
UUGCUUUAGCAGCACAUAUACUAAAACUAGAACAAUACAGAGAGGAUUAGAAUGGCUCCUAUGCAAGGACGACACACAAAUUUGUGAAGCAUUCCAUAUUUAA